GAGAGACAGACAGGUACACAGACAGACAGCUGAGUAUACAGACAGGUGAGUAUACAGAUAGACAGGAACACAGACAGACAGCUGAGUAUACAGACAGGUGAGUAUACAGAUAGACAGGAACACAGACAGACAGCUGAGUAUACAGACAGGUGAGUAUACAGAUAGACAGGAACACAGACAGACAGCUGAGUAUACAGACGGGUGAGUAUACAGAUAGACAGGAACACAGACAGACAGCUGAGUAUACAGACAGGUGAGUAUACAGAUAGACAGGAACACAGACAGACAGGUGAGCAUACAGACAGGUGAGCAUACAGACAGACAGGAACACAGACACACAGGUGAGUAUACAGACAGACAGGAACACAGACACACAGGUGAGUAUACAGACAGGUGAGUAUACAGACAGACAGGAACACAGACACACAGGUGAGUAUACAGACAGACAGGUGAGUAUGCAGACAGCUGAGUAUACAGACAGACAGGUACACAGACAGACAGGAACACAGACACACAGGUGAGUAUACAGACAGACAGGUACACAGACAGACAGGAACACAGACAGACAGGAACACAGACAGACAGG